rnacentral:rRNA from 1 species
GAUGAACGCUGGCGGCGUGCCUAAUACAUGCAAGUCGAGCGAACGGACGAGAAGCUUGCUUCUCUGAUGUUAGCGGCGGACGGGCGAGUAACACGUGGAUAACCUACCUAUAAGACUGGGAUAACUUCGGGAAACCGGAGCUAAUACCGGAUAAUAUUUUGAACCGCAUGGUUCAAAAGUGAAAGACGGUCUUGCUGUCACUUAUAGAUGGAUCCGCGCUGCAUUAGCUAGUUGGUAAGGUAACGGCUUACCAAGGCAACGAUGCAUAGCCGACCUGAGAGGGUGAUCGGCCACACUGGAACUGAGACACGGUCCAGACUCCUACGGGAGGCAGCAGUAGGGAAUCUUCCGCAAUGGGCGAAAGCCUGACGGAGCAACGCCGCGUGAGUGAUGAAGGUCUUCGGAUCGUAAAACUCUGUUAUUAGGGAAGAACAUAUGUGUAAGUAACUGUGCACAUCUUGGCGGUACCUAAUCAGAAAGCCACGGCUAACUACGUG